rnacentral:rRNA from 1 species
AAAUUGAAGAGUUUGAUCAUGGCUCAGAUUGAACGCUGGCGGCAGGCCUAACACAUGCAAGUCGAACGGUAGCACAGAGAGCUUGCUCUCGGGUGACGAGUGGCGGACGGGUGAGUAAUGUCUGGGAAACUGCCUGAUGGAGGGGGAUAACUACUGGAAACGGUGGCUAAUACCGCAUAACGUCGCAAGACCAAAGAGGGGGACCUUCGGGCCUCUUGCCAUCAGAUGUGCCCAGAUGGGAUUAGCUUGUUGGUGAGGUAACGGCUCACCAAGGCGACGAUCCCUAGCUGGUCUGAGAGGAUGACCAGCCACACUGGAACUGAGACACGGUCCAGACUCCUACGGGAGGCAGCAGUGGGGAAUAUUGCACAAUGGGCGCAAGCCUGAUGCAGCCAUGCCGCGUGUAUGAAGAAGGCCUUCGGGUUGUAAAGUACUUUCAGCGGGGAGGAAGGUGUUGUGGUUAAUAACCGCAGCAAUUGACGUUACCCGCAGAAGAAGCACCGGCUAACUCCGUGCCAGCAGCCGCGGUAAUACGGAGGGUGCAAGCGUUAAUCGGAAUUACUGGGCGUAAAGCGCACGCAGGCGGUCUGUCAAGUCGGAUGUGAAAUCCCCGGGCUCAACCUGGGAACUGCAUUCGAAACUGGCAGGCUUG